GAUGAACGCUGGCGGCGUGCCUAAUACAUGCAAGUCGAGCGAACAGACGAGGAGCUUGCUCCUCUGACGUUAGCGGCGGACGGGUGAGUAACACGUGGAUAACCUACCUAUAAGACUGGGAUAACUUCGGGAAACCGGAGCUAAUACCGGAUAAUAUAUUGAACCGCAUGGUUCAAUAGUGAAAGACGGUUUUGCUGUCACUUAUAGAUGGAUCCGCGCCGCAUUAGCUAGUUGGUAAGGUAACCGCUUACCAAGGCAACGAUGCGUAGCCGACCUGAGAGGGUGAUCGGCCACACUGGAACUGAGACACGGUCCAGACUCCUACGGGAGGCAGCAGUAGGGAAUCUUCCGCAAAGGGCGAAAGCUUGACGGAGCAACGCCGCGUGAGUGAUGAAGGUCUUCGGAUCGUAAAACUCUGUUAUUAGGGAAGAACAAAUGUGUAAGUAACUAUGCACGUCUUGACGGUACCUAAUCAGAAAGCCACGGCUAACUACGUG
rnacentral:rRNA from 1 species